AACAUGCCAGCUCAGACAUCCUAAAUCAAAUCCUCAUCAAAUAUUGAUGAGUGCAAGAAAAGGUGGCACGCCCGUAAUACAAUCACAGAAUAGGAUAAGACGUUUGCUCGUUGAAUUGAGGAUAAAAGAAACUCUAAGAAUUCGUGAAAAGCAGCUGUCGAAGAAUAAAACCCGAUCAAAUGGAAAUGAGAAUCCGACACUUUUCCAUCCUCCGUGUUUCCGCCUCGUUCUUUUGUCCGGGAGUUGAGCUCUAAAAUCUGCAUGGAGGCAGCGCUUGCAAAUAAGAAAUUCAUCUCACAGUCAAGUCGAAUCCCCAUGAGGACUAUUGCGCUGUGUACAUUUAUGAGACAGCCGGCAUGGAGAUGCAGAGAGCUGAGAUGGUGUCGGGGAUGAAGCAGACACGGUUUAACGGUGAAGAGUUGUGGCUGGAAUAAAUGGUCAGGACGGUCCAGACCAGACGAACGACGCUGAUCAGAGAAGACGUCACAUUACCAAUGGAAAUUACCAGGCCCCUGAAGCAGGUGAACAAGAGCAAGCGAGUGAGGAACACAGAGAGGAGGCAAGCGGGUCAAUAAGAGCGUCCACUCCAGCUCCACAUGCUGAGAUGGAAACAGAGGCUUCUGCAAGUUCUUCAUCUACUGAAAGCUCUUGAGCUGAUGCAACUCCAGGUCCGUCAGCAACAACCUAUCAGCAUACAGAGACCCCCUCCUCUCAACCAGCGCAACGUCGCUCCCAUCGGACCCUCCGGAUAAGAGAUAAACAACUAUAAGAUGGAAGUGAGGCAUUAUCGCUUAUCCAGAGGGUUGACAGGAACGAUGAAACAGAUUAUUUUGGCUACACCCUAGCCUCAAGGUGUAGAGACAUACCGAACCCAACUCACCAAGACUUCAUGGCUUAUUGCCUAGUAGCAGCUAGUGUUUUCGGGUCAGGCCGCACUCUUCCUCCGGUGGAGGACUUAAUAAAAAAUCUUAAAAUAUGUGCAGGAGAGCGUGCACCGUCCCCUAGUGGAAUUAAUGUAGGCACACAAACCCAACCAGACCAUUUUCCACUUGAAGAAUGAACAUGUUCUUUCUUCAAGCAGAAAGGAAUUCCGCGAGCGCAAUUUCCGCAGUA